GAAGUGGGGAGGAGGCGGUUGCGGUUAGUGGACCGGGACCGGUAGGGGUGCUGUUGCCAUCAUGGCUGACCCCGACCCCCGGUACCCUCGCUCCUCGAUCGAGGACGACUUCAACUAUGGCAGCAGCGUGGCCUCCGCCACCGUGCACAUCCGAAUGGGGCCCAGAAUGCAACAGGUCUUUGAGGAUUAUUGAGGAAGUUGCUCAACACAGAAGCUUCCUAAGUCAGUCUAAAUUGUGUUUUAAGUUAUUACGUAGUAGCCAAUGGGCAGAAAUUUUUGAAUUUAAAAUGCUCAGCUUCAUCUACGUGGAAGCCAUUGCCUGCUCUAGUUUGGUCAUUUGAUCGCCGAAACAGCCCCAGACUUUCAGCCUGUUUAGGCAGCUGGAACUUGUUCUGGAAAAGGAAAGAUGAAGAUAGUUCUGAUGUGCUAAGAAUCUUAGUGCCUAGAACUUGUUCUGGAAAAGGAAAGAUGAAGAUAGUUCUGAUGCACCAAGAAUCUUGGUGCCUAGCAUUUAUAUUUUUGGAAUUGAAUUUUGAAAUUAUUUUGGCCAGUGAACUCAGCUUUUUUUUAAAAAAAAUUAAUUGUGGUAAAAUACAGGUAACAUAAAAUUUACCGUCUUAACUAUUUUUAAGUGUAUAGUUCAGUAGUGUUAAGUUAUUCACAUGGUUGUGCACUGUUAAAAGAAAAACUUUAGACACAUUAAAUCUAACGGAGUUUGAGCACAGAAUGAUUUGCGAAUUGGGCAGGUCCCGGAACCAGAAUAAGG
rnacentral:lncRNA from 1 species